GACGAACGCUGGCGGCGUGCUUAACACAUGCAAGUCGAACGGAAAGGCCCUGCUGUUGUGGGGUGCUCGAGUGGCGAACGGGUGAGUAACACGUGAGUAACCUGCCCUUGACUUUGGGAUAACUUCAGGAAACUGGGGCUAAUACCGGAUAGGAGCUCCUGCUGCAUGGUGGGGGUGGGAAAGUUUCGGCGGUUGGGGAUGGACUCGCGGCUUAUCAUCGUGUGGGUGGGGUAGUGGCUUACCAAGGCUUUGACGGGUAGCCGGCCUGAGAGGGUGACCGGCCACAUUGGGACUGAGAUACGGCGCAGACUCCUACGGGAGGCAGCAGUGGGGAAUAUUGCACAAUGGGCGGAAGCCUGAUGCAGCAGCGCCGCGUGCGGGAUGACGGCCUUCGGGUUGUAAACCGCUUUCGCCUGUGACGAAGCGUGAGUGACGGUAAUGGGUAAAGAAGCACCGGCUAACUACGUG
rnacentral:rRNA from 1 species